CGUCAAUCAAAGUCCAAUCUCUCAACCUAAUUUCACAAAAUCAAUCAAAUUCAAAACCUAAUUCAUUGGUUCCCCAAAAAAUAACACACACACACACAAAAAUCAAAACUUGAAUUUUCAAUUAAAAAUGUUGAAGAAGAUGGGCGUCAACAAUCUUGCUCUGCCAAGGAACACAAGGAUAAAUCUAAGAAGAGAAGCAAGGUUGGUGCUUAUUGCGCAAGGCUUGCUGAUUUGUAGAUCAGGAGGAAGGGAGGUGCAACAUUCGCGAGGCCAGGAGGUGCUGGUUGUUGGGUUCACGCGAUCGGAGAGG
rnacentral:misc_RNA from 1 species